UACGUAGGGUGCAAGCGUUGCCCCGGAUUUAUUGGGCGUAAAGGGCGCGUAGGCGGUCACGCACGUCCGUUGUGAAAUCGCUCGGCUCAACUGGGCGGGGUCAGCGGAUACGGCGUAGCUGGAGCAAGCUAGGGGGCAUGGAAUUCCCGGUGUAGUGGUGGAAUGCGUAGAUAUCGAGAGGAACACCUGCGGCGAAGGCGGGGUUGCUGGGCUGAUACUGACGCUGAGGCGCGAAAGCCAGGGGAGCGAACGGG
rnacentral:rRNA from 1 species